AUCGACCCCAGUAUGUCUUUUAUCUCUUAUUUUUUUCAGUCACUGGACUGUGGCCAUGCUAGAGCACCACCUUAAAAGGGUUAGCUGAACAAACCAACCUCAG